rnacentral:rRNA from 1 species
CUUUGAUUAUGGCUCAGGAUGAACGCUAGCUACAGGCUUAACACAUGCAAGUCGAGGGGAAACGACAUAGUUAGCUUGCUAACUUUGGGCGUCGACCGGCGCACGGGUGAGUAACGCGUAUCCAACCUGCCCACCACCUGGGAAUAACCUUGCGAAAGUAAGACUAAUGCCCAAUGACGUUGAAAGAAGACAUCUGAUUUCAACUAAAGAUUCAUCGGUGAUGGAUGGGGAUGCGUCCGAUUAGCUUGUUGGCGGGGUAACGGCCCACCAAGGCAACGAUCGGUAGGGGUUCUGAGAGGAAGGUCCCCCACAUUGGAACUGAGACACGGUCCAAACUCCUACGGGAGGCAGCAGUGAGGAAUAUUGGUCAAUGGGCGAGAGCCUGAACCAGCCAAGUAGCGUGCAGGAUGACGGCCCUAUGGGUUGUAAACUGCUUUUAUAAGGGAAUAAAGUGGGGCUCGUGAGCUCCUUUGCAUGUACCUUACGAAUAAGGACCGGCUAAUUCCGUGCCAGCAGCCGCGGUAAUACGGAAGGUCCGGGCGUUAUCCGGAUUUAUUGGGUUUAAAGGGAGCGUAGGCCGGAGAUUAAGCGUGUUGUGAAAUGUAGAUGCUCAACAUCUGCACUGCAGCGCGAACUGGUUUCCUUGAGUACGCACAAAGUGGGCGGAAUUCGUGGUGUAGCGGUGAAAUGCUUAGAUAUCACGAAGAACUCCGAUUGCGAAGGCAGCUCACUGGAGCGCAACUGACGCUGAAGCUCGAAAGUGCGGGUAUCGAACAGGAUUAGAUACCCUGGUAGUCCGCACGGUAAACGAUGGAUGCCCGCUGUUGGUCUGAAUAGGUCAGCGGCCAAGCGAAAGCAUUAAGCAUCCCACCUGGGGAGUACGCCGGCAACGGUGCAACUCAAAUGAAUUGACGGA